rnacentral:rRNA from 1 species
GACGAACCGUCCAAACGUUAUUCGGAAUCACUGGGCUUACAGAGUUCGUAGGCGGUCUGGAAAGUUGGGUGUGAAAUCCCUCGGCCUAACCGAGGAACUGCGCUUGAAACUACCAGACUCGAGGGAGAUAGAGGAAAGCGGAACUGAUGGUGGAGCGGUGAAAUGCGUUGAUAUCAUCAGGAACACCGGUGGCGAAGGCGGCUUCUGGGUCUUACCUGACGCUGAGGAACGAAAGCCAGGGGA